GCACUGGGAGAAACACAAGAUAAAGAUCAGAACUCAGAAUCUACUUUGAAAAUUCCAUGAAUGCCACGUUGCGGAUCUAACCUAUGACACACAAGAGUAGGUGGGGGGGUACCCCAGUUCAGAAAUGGUGUGUUGAAGUAAAACGGACGUUGUAAAAGAUGACUUCCCGAAAAGGACGGAACCAAAUUGGCGAGGGAAACAAUCAUGUAAAACAGAAGUUAGUAUCAAGGGUCUGACUCAAGCAGUGUGAGCAAGAAGACCUGGGUUUAAGUCCUUGGCACCUAUGUAAAAAGCCAGGCACAGUGGUGUAUGUGUGUCUAUAACCACAGCCCUGGGAAGAGGGGUGCACUGACUUCAUUGAGCAAUCAGAAUUUAAGGUUUGGUGAGGGACCUUUCAAAAAAUAAGGAGACUAUUAAAGGGAGAUAUCAGACAAUGACCUCACAUACCCAUGAAUACACAUCUGCAGUAGCAAGUGCACACACACCAUGCAACAUGAACGUACAGCACAUACACAAAGAAAAUAGUACGAUGUGGCCGGGUGUGAUGGCGCACGCCUUUAAUCCCAGCACUCGGGAGGCAGAGGCAGGUGGAUUUCUGAGUUCGAGGCCAGCCUGGUCUACAAAGUGAAUUCCAGGACAGCCAGGGCUCUACAGAGAAACCCUGUCACGAAAAACCAAAAAAAAAAAGAAAAAGAAAAAGAAAAAAAAAAGAAAAUAGUAUGACGUAUUUGGGGGACGAUGAAGGAAGAAUCAGCUACAUGCAGAGUUCAAAGUCAAUGAGAGCUGAUUGGAGAUCAAGUGUGAAGUGCAGGGUAAACCAAGACUGGUGUACCAGCGGGACACAGGACUCAAGUGUGUCCAAAAUAAUGGUGGCAUGUGAGGGAGCCCAUUAUGGCAGACACACAGGUAAAGGUUAUGCAAGGAGCCAACUAGCCCUGUCUUCAGGGUGUACCCUCAGGGGGUGGCAGAGAAGCAACGAGCAAGUGACACCUUUGCAAGAAAGGGCUCAUUAGCAUUAGAGUCCUACCUACUCAUGGACAUGGACAGAAAGGGGCGGGUCCCACGCAGAGACGUGGACAGGAAGAGCCGGGUCCCUACACAGGGAUGUAGAGAAGAAGGUGCAGUUCUCUAUGACAGGACGUGGACAGGAAGGGGCUGUUUCCUACUCAGGGACAUGGACAAGAAGGGGCGGUUCCCUAGUCAGGAACAUGGACCAAAGGGGGCAGUUCCCAUGCAGGGACGUGGACAAGAAGGAGGGGGGGUCCCUGCGCAGGGAUACAGAUAGGAAGGUGCAGUUCUCUAUGAAGGGAUGCAGACAGGAAGGUGCAGUUCUCUAUGACAGGACGUGGACAGGAAGGGGCGGUUCCCCACUCACGGACAUGGACAGGAGGGGGAAGUUUCCUACACAGGGACUUGGACAGGGGAGAGCGUGUCUCUACGCAGAGGGUUGUGAACAGGAUGGUGCAGUUCAGCGAGGAUGACUCUAGGGUUAUGAGAGUGAAGAUGACACAUGCGGAAAUCACCAUGGAAACAAACUCUGGGCAUCUGUCUGUGAGAGGAUUUCCCUGUUGGGACAAUUGAGGUGGCAAGAUACAGGAGAAAGCGAGCUGAGCACCAGCCUCCAUCUGCCUCUGCUUGCUGACGGUUUAGAAUUUACACACUGAAUGGCCUGCCUCUGGGCUGCCCCAGAGGGCCCUGCCAGCACCUGGAGCUCCAGAUCCCGCCCAGUAGGCUUACAACCUGAACUUUCUAUUUCUGAAACCCCAUUUCCCAGGAGGCAGCACUCACUUUGGGCCACACACUUCUGAGAAUGAUUGCAUGUGUCAGCUGCUAAGUCACAUGGCCUUCAGCCUGGCCCCUUCCAGAGGGUGACAGAACUUCUGUUGGAGCAGAUGAAUGUUACUGUCAUAGAGAGGUUUGACACCCCUUAUAAUGCCACCCAAGGCUCACCACAGUCACCCAGAAGUACAGCUCAGUCCCGUCACAGUGAAUCAGUGUCCUGAUGCCCCUGGGUCUCCAAAUACCACUGGAAGAAAAUUAAUGGAGCGUUCUGCUCCUUCCGUUUAACACAUCAAGGGACUGGCCCCCUGAUGAAAAUGUAGUUUAAUUAAGAUAAUCGCUCCCGUUUAAAGAGAGCCUCAAAGCAAGAGUUGAGUCUCCUUACUUCCUUUUUUAAAAAAUAAAGUCUUAUUUUUAACUAUGUGGAUAUGUGUGGAUACCUGCAUGUGAAUUCAGGGAGUCUCGGAGACCAGAGGCAUCAAACCCUCUGGAGCUAACAUUACAGGUGGUUGUGAGCCUGAGGCAGGUGCUGAGUACCAAACCUGCAUCCUCUGGAUGGGAGCAAGCAUUUGUAACUCCAGAGCCAUCUCUCCAGCUCUUUACUGUCUCUGUGUGUCUGUGUGAGGAAGUCACAGAACUUACAACAGCCUCUUCCACCUCCUACCAGGUGGGUCCAGAGGGCUGACUUCAGAUGUCAGACUUGGCGGCAAACAUUUUCACCCACAGAAUCAUCUUGUCAUCCCAGGUCUCUUCAUUUCCAAACCAGUGUCGCCUACCACUCAGAGCCAACCUUCAGUGAACGGCAUACUCACUCUCAUU